rnacentral:rRNA from 1 species
GGAUAAAGCUACUAAGCGUACACGGGGGAUGCCUUGGCACCAACUGCCGAAGAAGGGCGUGGCAAGACUGCGAUAAGCCUCGGUUAGUCGUCUAGCUGACUUAACCGGGGAUUCCCGAAUGGGGUAACCCAAUUCACUAAAUGUGGAUUAUCUUUGAACUAACCCUUAAUUCAAAGAAGGUAAGCAGGGGAACUGAAACAUCUAAGUACCCUGAGGAAGAGAAAUCAAAAGAGAUUCCCGUAGUAGUGGCGAACGAAAUGGGAAUAGCCUAAACCAUAGAGGCUUCACGGCUUUGGGGCCCAUGUCUUUAUGGGGUUGCAAGAAGUAUGUGUUGAGGCCCAUAACUCAACGAGGAGUAAGAAAACCAUUUUCUAUUCGAAUGUUCCUGGAACGGACAGCCAGAGAAGGUGAGAGCCCGGUAGAUUAAAGGAAAUGGUCUCCUUAUUACUUUCUUAAGUAGAGCGGGACACGUGAAAUCUUGCUUGAAUCUGGGGGGACCAUCCUCCAAGGCUAAAUACAGUUGGUGACCGAUAGUGAACUAGUACCGUGAGGGAAAGGUGAAAAGUACCCCGAGAGGGGAGUGAAAUAGACCUGAAACCGUGUACGUACAAACAGUCGGAGUAUCGAUUUAUCGAUAUGACGGCGUGCCUUUUGAAGAAUGAACCUGCGAGUUACUGGGACGUGGCAAGGUUAAUCUGCUAAGCAGAGGAGCCGAAGCGAAAGCGAGUCUGAAUAGGGCAUUCAGUCGCGUUCCGUAGACCCGAAACCAGGCGAGCUACCCAUGGCCAGGUUGAAGCUCAGAUAGUCUCUGAGUGAAGGACCGAACCCAUUUCAAGUACAAAUGGAUGGGAUGAGUUGUGGGUAGAGGUGAAAUGCCAAUCGAGCUUGGAAAUAGCUGGUUCUCCCCGAAAUGCAUUUAGGUGCAGCGUUGAAGAUUGACUUGAGGAGGUAAGGCUCUGGAUGGGUCAGGGGGUGCAAACUUACCGAUCCCAACCAAACCAAGAAUGCCUUAAGCUCGUACUUCAGCAGUGAGACAGUGGGGGAUAAGCUCCAUUGUCGAGAGGGAAACAGCCCAGACCACCGUCUAAGGUCCCCAAGUAUAUACUCAGUGUGAAAGGAAGUUGAAUCGCCAAAACAGCCAGGAGGUUGGCUUAGAAGCAGCCACCCUUUAAAGAGUGCGUAAUAGCUCACUGGUCGAGGGGUUCUGCGCCGACAAUUUAACGGGGCUUAAGUAUAUCACCGAAGACGUGGCAUCAGUUUACUGAUGGGUAGGGGAGCGUUCUGUAGGCAGUGAAGUCUAGUUGUAAAGCUAGGUGGAGCGUACAGAAGUGAGAAUGCAGGUAUGAGUAGCGUAUAUCUCGGUGAGAAUCCGAGACGUCGAAAAUCUGAGGAUUCCUACGCAACGUUUAUCGACGUAGGGUUAGUCGGUCCUAAGGUGUAUCCGAAAGGAGUAACCGAUGGACAGUAGGUCAAAAUUCCUACACCACCUAUUAUUCGUUUUAAUACAAAGGGGGGACACGGACAGGUAGGCUGAGCGUGCCUAAUGGACAUGGUGCGUUCUUCUUUGAAGGCCAUCUCGCAAGACAUGUAAAUCAGUUAGCGAGGUUAUGAGCUGAGGAAGGAGAGAACUCUAGGGCUCGCCCUGGGGGAUUCGGUUGAACCUAUGCCGUCAAGAAAAGCCUCGUUGUAAGGAUAAUGGGUGACCGUACCGUAAACCGACACUGGUAGAUGAGCAUGAAAGUGCUAAGACGGUCGAGAGAACUCUGGUUAAGGAACUCGGCAAAAGGACCCCGUAACUUCGGGAUAAGGGGUUCCCUCGGGGUGAAGUCUAUUUACUAGACCAGCUCUAGAGGGACACAGCAAAUUGGCCCAAGCGACUGUUUAUCAAAAACACAGGUCUCUGCUAAGGGGUAACCCUAGGUAUAGAGGCUGACGCCUGCCCAGUGCCGGAAGGUUAAAGGGAAAGGUUAUCCGUAAGGAGAAGCUUUGAACUGAAGCCCCGGUGAACGGCGGCCGUAACUAUAACGGUCCUAAGGUAGCGAAGUCCCUUGUCGGGUAAGUUCCGACCCGCACGAAUGGCG